rnacentral:rRNA from 1 species
AAAUUGAAGAGUUUGAUCAUGGCUCAGAUUGAACGCUGGCGGCAGGCCUAACACAUGCAAGUCGAACGGUAACAGGAAGCAGCUUGCUGCUUUGCUGACGAGUGGCGGACGGGUGAGUAAUGUCUGGGAAACUGCCUGAUGGAGGGGGGAUAACUACUGGAAACGGUGGCUAAUACCGCAUAACGUCGCAAGACCAAAGAGGGGGACCUUCGGGCCUCUUGCCAUCAGAUGUGCCCAGAUGGGAUUAGCUUGUUGGUGAGGUAACGGCUCACCAAGGCGACGAUCCCUAGCUGGUCUGAGAGGAUGACCAGCCACACUGGAACUGAGACACGGUCCAGACUCCUACGGGAGGCAGCAGUGGGGAAUAUUGCACAAUGGGCGCAAGCCUGAUGCAGCCAUGCCGCGUGUAUGAAGAAGGCCUUCGGGUUGUAAAGUACUUUCAGCGGGGAGGAAGGUGUUGUGGUUAAUAACCGCAGCAAUUGACGUUACCCGCAGAAGAAGCACCGGCUAACUCCGUGCCAGCAGCCGCGGUAAUACGGAGGGUGCAAGCGUUAAUCGGAAUUACUGGGCGUAAAGCGCACGCAGGCGGUCUGUCAAGUCGGAUGUGAAAUCCCCGGGCUCAACCUGGGAACUGCAUUCGAAACUGGCAGGCUUGAGUCUUGUAGAGGGGGGUAGAAUUCCAGGUGUAGCGGUGAAAUGCGUAGAGAUCUGGAGGAAUACCGGUGGCGAAGGCGGCCCCCUGGACAAAGACUGACGCUCAGGUGCGAAAGCGUGGGGAGCAAACAGGAUUAGAUACCCUGGUAGUCCACGCCGUAAACGAUGUCUACUUGGAGGUUGUGCCCUUGAGGCGUGGCUUCCGGAGCUAACGCGUUAAGUAGACCGCCUGGGGAGUACGGCCGCAAGGUUAAAACUCAAAUGAAUUGACGGGGGCCCGCACAAGCGGUGGAGCAUGUGGUUUAAUUCGAUGCAACGCGAAGAACCUUACCUGGUCUUGACAUCCACAGAAGAAUCCAGAGAUGGAUUUGUGCCUUCGGGAACUGUGAGACAGGUGCUGCAUGGCUGUCGUCAGCUCGUGUUGUGAAAUGUUGGGUUAAGUCCCGCAACGAGCGCAACCCUUAUCCUUUGUUGCCAGCGGUCCGGCCGGGAACUCAAAGGAGACUGCCAGUGAUAAACUGGAGGAAGGUGGGGAUGACGUCAAGUCAUCAUGGCCCUUACGACCAGGGCUACACACGUGCUACAAUGGCGCAUACAAAGAGAAGCGACCUCGCGAGAGCAAGCGGACCUCAUAAAGUGCGUCGUAGUCCGGAUUGGAGUCUGCAACUCGACUCCAUGAAGUCGGAAUCGCUAGUAAUCGUGGAUCAGAAUGCCACGGUGAAUACGUUCCCGGGCCUUGUACACACCGCCCGUCACACCAUGGGAGUGGGUUGCAAAAGAAGUAGGUAGCUUAACCUUCGGGAGGGCGCUUACCACUUUGUGAUUCAUGACUGGGGUGAAGUCGUAACAAGGUAACCGUAGGGGAACCUGCGGUUGGAGCACCUCCUUA